rnacentral:rRNA from 1 species
UUGAACAAUUUAGCUGAUCGAACGGUCUAAGUACCGGCGACAUAUCCUUCAAACGUCUGCCUUAUCAACUUUCGAUGGUAGUUUACGCGUCUACCAUGGUUGUAACGGGUAACGGAGAAUCAGGGUUUGAUUCCGGAGAGGGAGCCUGAGAAAUGGCUACCACAUCCAAGGAAGGCAGCAGGCACGCAAAUUACCCACUCCCGGCACGGGGAGGUAGUGACGAAAAAUAACAAGCUGGUCUCUAUGAGUUCCGGCAUUGUAAUGGGAACAACUUAAAUCAUUUAUCGAGGAUCUAUUGGAGGGCAAGUCUGGUGCCAGCAGCCGCGGUAAUUCCAGCUCCAAUAGCGUAUAUUAAAGUUGUUGCGGUUAAAAAG